GACGAACGCUGGCGGCGUGCUUAACACAUGCAAGUCGAACGGAAAGGCCCUGCUUUUGUGGGGUGCUCGAGUGGCGAACGGGUGAGUAACACGUGAGUAACCUGCCCUUGACUUUGGGAUAACUUCAGGAAACUGGGGCUAAUACCGGAUAGGAGCUCCUGCUUCAUGGUGUGGGUUGGAAAGUUUCGGCGGUUGGGGAUGGACUCGCGGCUUAUCAGCUUGUUGGUGGGGUAGUGGCUUACCAAGGCUUUGACGGGUAGCCGGCCUGAGAGGGUGACCGGCCACAUUGGGACUGAGAUACGGCCCAGACUCCUACGGGAGGCAGCAGUGGGGAAUAUUGCACAAUGGGCGGAAGCCUGAUGCAGCAACGCCGCGUGCGGGAUGACGGCCUUCGGGUUGUAAACCGCUUUCGCCUGUGACGAAGCGUGAGUGACGGUAAUGGGUAAAGAAGCACCGGCUAACUACGUG
rnacentral:rRNA from 1 species